GACCAAGGAGUCUAGCAUGUGCGCGAGUGAUUGGGACUCUGAUAAACCUAAAGGCGCAAUGAAAGUAAAAGUCCGCCUCGCGCGGACCGAGGGAGGAUGGGACCGUUCUCGAACGGACCCCGCACUCCCGGGGCGUCUCGUUCUCAUCGCGAGAAGAGGCGCACCCAGAGCGUACACGCUGGGACCCGAAAGAUGGUGAACUAUGCCUGGUCAGGACGAAGUCAGGGGAAACCCUGAUGGAGGUCCGUAGCGAUUCUGACGUGCAAAUCGAUCGUCGGAACUGGGUAUAGGGGCGAAAGACUAAUCGAAC
rnacentral:rRNA from 1 species